rnacentral:rRNA from 1 species
GCCCUUANAGUUUGAUCCUGGCUCANAACGAACGCUGGCGGCACGCCUAACACAUGCAAGUCGAGCGCACCUUCGGGUGAGCGGCGGACGGGUUAGUAACGCGUGGGAACAUACCCUUCUCUAAGGAAUAGCCACNGGAAACGGUGAGUAAUACCUUAUACGCCCUUCGGGGGANUGAUUUAUCGGAGAUGGAUUGGCCCGCGUUAGAUUAGAUAGUUGGUGGGGUAAUGGCCUACCAAGUCUACGAUCUAUAGCUGGUUUUAGAGGAUGAUCANCAACACUGGGACUGAGACACGGCCCANACUCCUACGGGAGGCAGCAGUGGGGAAUCUUAGACAAUGGGCGCAAGCCUGAUCUAGCGAUGCCGCGUGUGUGAUGAAGGUCUUAGGAUCGUAAAGCACUUUCACCAGGGAUGAUAAUGACAGUACCUGGAAAAGAAACCCCGGCUAACUCCGUGCCAGCAGCCGCGGUAAUAAGGGCG